rnacentral:rRNA from 1 species
AUUGAACGCUGGCGGCGUGCUUAACACAUGCAAGUCGAGCGGUAACAGGCGUAGCAAUACGUGCUGACGAGCGGCGAACGGGUGCGUAAUACAUGGGAAUCUGCCCUUUGGUGGGGAAUAACCCGGCGAAAGCCGGGCUAAUGCCGCAUGAGAUCUUCGGAUGAAAGCGGGGGAUCGUAAGACCUCGCGCCGAUGGAUGAGCCCAUGUCGGAUUAGCUAGUUGGUGAGGUAACGGCUCACCAAGGCGACGAUCCGUAGCUGGUCUGAGAGGACGGCCAGCCACACUGGGACUGAGACACGGCCCAGACUCCUACGGGAGGCAGCAGUGGGGGAUAUUGGACAAUGGGCGAAAGCCUGAUCCAGCGACGCCGCGUGUGUGAAGAAGGCCUGCGGGUUGUAAAGCACUUUCGAUGGGAACGAAAUGUGCCGGGCUAAUAUCCCGGCAAGCUGACGUUACUCAAUGAAGAAGCACCGGCUAACUCUGUGCCAGCCGCCGCGGUAAAAC